GGAGGGUUAGCUCAAGUGGUAGAGUGCAUGCUUAGAAUGUGUGAGGUCCUGGGUUCAAUCCCCAGUACCUCCU
rnacentral:tRNA from 1 species